rnacentral:rRNA from 1 species
AGAGUUUGAUCAUGGCUCAGAAUCAACGCUGGCGGCGUGCCUCAGACAUGCAAGUCGAACGAUUAAACUUUCCUUCGGGAAAGAUAUAAAGUGGCGCACGGGUGAGUAACACGUAAGUAAUCUACCUUCGAGUGGGGAAUAACGUUCGGAAACGAACGCUAAUACCACAUAAUGCAGCGGCAUCGUAAGAUGACAGUUGUUAAAGGAUUUAUUCGCUUGAAGAGGAGCUUGCGGCAGAUUAGCUAGUUGGUAAGGUAACGGCUUACCAAGGCGACGAUCUGUAACCGACCUGAGAGGGUGGUCGGUCACACUGACACUGAAUAACGGGUCAGACUCCUACGGGAGGCAGCAGUCGGGAAUUUUGGGCAAUGGGCGAAAGCGUGACCCAGCAACGCCGCGUGAAGGAUGAAGUAUUUCGGUAUGUAAACUUCGAAAGAAUGGGAAGAAUAAAUGACGGUACCAUUUAUAAGGUCCGGCUAACUACGUGCCAGCAGCCGCGGUAAUACGUAGGGACCAAGUGUUGUUCGGAUUUACUGGGCGUAAAGGGCGCGUAGGCGG